rnacentral:lncRNA from 1 species
GACAGCCUUAAAUAACCCCUCGUGGUCUUGUGAUAGCCGAUGUCUCCUUCGGGGAACUUGUGGAAGUGUCAGUACUCUGUCGGGUGGUCAAGUUGAUGACCUCCUCCCCCUUGGGUCCUCUCCUUUGCUAGCUCGCCUUUUUCGUCUGCUCAGGUCGUAGAGGUGCGACGCUCUGGGGUGGCGCCGGCAGUUUUCCCCGCCACCGCGAGGGAAAGCCAACUUGCUGGGACACUUUUGAGGCACAUGGAGUUUGACAUAUCGGUUGUCGUUGCUAUUUUCGUUCGAUUUAACAGUAACUUUUGCUAUAUAUUCUCAAUGUAAAUUUACCGUGUUUAGAAAUUGUUCGAUAUACAGGAUAAAUUGAUACGAACGGGUUCGAUAUAGUCGGGCUCGACUGUAUAAAAGUGUUGUAGAAGGCAUACUUAUGAAUUGGUCUUUUUUGUUUAUGUGGUGCUUCCCUGCCAAGUUUGCGGGUAAGCUGAUGUUUAACAAUGCACCAGCAAGUUGCCGCGGGUCUGCAUCCUUUCACGUCAGCUCUGCAAAUUGUAUCCACCAUGCACAUGUGUAGUAAUUACUUCCAUAGAAUAAAUUUAAUCAGCUUCACAUUGUCAGUUGCAUCUUCGUUCUUGUCUCUGUCCUGUACAGCGUGUUUUCUGCUAAACAUUAAUGUGCAUGUAGGCCUUGUUACAGUGGCGCUAAAAAUGAGACGUGCAACCCAGUCAUGCAAUAACUUGUUUAUUAAAAACCAGCACUCGGUCUCGAGGAUUUGGCAGACGCUUCAUCUUAGUGGCAACAGAAAAAAAAAGUGGGGAGGGGGCUCGAACAUCUCUCGAUGCUAAUAAAGAAACAUUUUGCUCACUUUUCUUCGUCUUUCUGGAAUGAUAACAAACAACCAACUUUGCUGACUAGACUGCAUGGGUGGCGCUCGUCGGAGAAAGUACUACUAGUAGUGCCUCGAUCAGCCGUCGGAACAAGCAUUGCACUGUCGAUUCCCGUUAGCAACAUGGCACGCUGGCAAGCUUGCAAACAUGUGUCAUCACUAUGAACAUGCCAUCAACUCUCAUGUAGCUUCACUCGACUGAUAUGCAUGGAGCAAUGCAGGCACACCUGCCAAUAAGUACAGUGUUAAGAGGAAGCGUUACCUCAUACAAGCUCCUAUCAAUUACACUAAGAACAGCGAAAUCGUUUUGCUUGGCAUUUACUCCACCAAAUUUGAUAAAGUUUGUUGCAUAUAAAAGAA